ncrna:unclassified sequences L20-Deltaproteobacteria ribosomal protein leader
UGCCAAGAACCAUGAGGAAAUUGUCUCCCCUUAUGGAUCUGGUAAAUUAACCAAUGAAGGAG